AUCCUGGUACUAAACAGAAAUAGAUCAGAGAAGCCCACAGUUCCUAGCUCUUAUACUCUAGCCUCCUAAUCAACUGCUACAGGCUUGAUAUACAACACCUGCUCAGGCCUGUGCAUUGGCUGGAGAACAGUGCACAAAAACAGAGUAGCUUUGACAGUUCUGUGGGGACUCAUCAGCACUCUAAGCCAGGCUGCUACAAUCUUUGCUCUCAUCUGGUUCUCAGUGUUUACAUCUACAUGGUAAACUUGCAAAAAGUUCCUUAAUUUUCACAGAAACUUCUACCCAUUAUGCUAGGAAGAUGGUGAAUUCCAAACUCCAAACACACAUAAAAUCUUCAGAGCGUUACCAAGGCUCUUCCUCCUCUAGGAACAUGCCCCUGCAACAAGGCAGCCUCCCCACUACCAACCUACCUCUCAUACACAAACUUCCUUGAGGCCUCAAUUCACCAGGAAAUCCGUGGGUUGUUGCACCUUUCUCAGAACUGUCUCUGCGUUUGAUCACCACUACAGGGUUACGGUUCAAGAACAGGCAAGCUACAGUGAAUCGCAAAAGGCUCAAGAACUACCAGGGAAUCCUGGCUGUGGAUCGCAUGAUAGACCUGCAUCCCCUAUAGACUGUGUCCCUCUUGUCACAUCUGCCAGUGUAGAUUCCCUGUGCCAGAGGGCUUCCAGAAUCAGCUGUACUCCUCAGCUUAGCCUCUCCAGUAAUUCAUCUGACCAUCUAUCCAACUUCUCCAUCAUUGAUCAAGCCUUCGAGGAGAAAUGCUUCAGGAGGAUCUCAGCUAGAAAGAGAUGGCAGAGGCAGAAGAAUAUAGAACUAACUAGGAAAUGAGGCCACGGAUCAUGUGGUAGGUCUGGAAUUCCCAAAGAUUGUGUCCCUCCUGCUGGGUUGGACAACUCAGAAUCUGUGUGUGAGAGAACCAUCCAUUUUCAGCAAGACUCCUGUACUCAGCCCUUCAGAUAUUUCCCCAAACUCAGAAUCCAUCUUCUCCAUGUGUCAGAGACCAUCACUUGUGAGUUUUCCUUUCCUCAGCCACUUGAACAACUCUCUAGACCAGAGGCAGUUGGGUAUCUGUUCUCUCCCUUCAGUCAGUCCCUCCAUCAUUUCUCCAGACUCAGAAUCCUUCUUAUCCAUGUGUGAGAGCACAUCUAGUAUCUGCUCUCCUCCGUCACUCAGCCCAAGGAUUUUCCCAGAACCGGAUUCCAUCCUCUGCAUUGAUGAGACAAAUGAGUGUUUCUUAUCUGAAGCCCUGAAGUGUGGCCAUGCUGGCCAAGUCCUAGCAGUGGCAGACAGAAUCCCGUGUCAGUCAGCAGGCUGUGCGUCAUCUGAAAACCCAGCUCAAGAUGCAGGCUCGACACAAGCUCUAGAAUCCAGCACAGCUUCAACAGCAGCUCCAGGGGCAAUGGAAAGAGGUGUGAUAAGGAGGAAACCAUUUGAGAAAAAUAUUACAUGUGUUUUGUUCAGUAUGUAUUUGGUCGUAAGUCUGACACAGCCCACAUGUUCUGGUAAAAAGAAAACAUGUGAAAACUGAUUUGCCCAUUUUCCUGUGUAAAUCUUGAAAGGAAAAGUAGGAUCCUGAGGCUUGGUGAUAAGGGAUUGAUGUGCCGUUUCCCAAUUUCCAGAGCUCUAGAAGGGUUAUGUCUACAGAAAGAGUAGAGGAUGACACUGGGCUUCUUAUUUGAACUACAAUCUUAAAACAUGUAUGACCUGUAGGCACCCCCAAGUAAAUAUUCUUUACAAUUAA